CGAACGGUUUGAUAAAUGAAUUUUUCCUGAUAAAGUUUUUAUCAUAGUUUAACAUUAGUUUGGGUGUGGGUCUAAUAAAUCUGUGUAUGAAAAUAGGACUUCAAAUUAUUGAGGACAGUACAACGGAAAAAUCUGGAUUGCUCUAUGUUUACAUGAACAUCUUUUAGAACCACACAAUGAACAUGAGAUUAAUUGCAAUGAUAAGCAGCAUUGUUUUAGUGAAUGCAACUUUGUCACCAGGAACUGAUUCAUCUACUUCGCCCGUGACAGGAAAUCUAGGAUCUACUGUUUCAGCCGUCCGAAAUUCACAAAGUACCUCACAAACAACUACACCGUCACCCAUCUCUUUUACAUCUCUUACAACUACUUCAAGUCCUUCAAUGUCCGAUUCUACAAUUCCGACGUUGAAAUCAUUAUCUUCGGUAAAUAUGCCUAAUACACCAAACAAUACGCAUGUUACCAUUUCAACUAAUCAUAACAACAACAAAAAUAGUACCCCGAGUACAUCAAAUGUUCAUACUCCUAAUAUCA